rnacentral:rRNA from 1 species
GGAUUAGGCAUGCAAGUCGUACGAGAACGGUCUCUUCGGAGACUUAGUAAAGUGGCGAACGGGUGAGUAAUGCAUAGAUAACCUGCCCUCGAGAUGGGGAUAACGUUUCGAAAGGAAUGCUAAUACCCAAUAUCGCCUCGGGCCUGCGGGCCUGAGAUAAAAGAAGGCCUCUGAUUUAAGCUUUCGCUCGGGGAGGGGUUUAUGUCCUAUUAGCUUGUUGGUGAGGUAAAGGCUCACCAAGGCCGCGAUGGGUAGCCGACCUGAGAGGGUGACCGGCCACAUUGGGACUGAGACACUGCCCAAACUCCUACGGGAGGCUGCAGUCGAGAAUCUUCCGCAAUGCGCGCAAGCGUGACGGAGCGACGCCGCGUGGGUGAUGAAGGCCUUCGGGUUGUAAAGCCCUGUCAGUUGUUAGGAAAUGCAGGCGGUAAACAGCUGUCCUGCUUGACCCGGCGACAAAGGAAGCACCGGCUAAUACGUGCCAGCAGCCGCGGUAAUACGUAUGGUGCAAACGUUGUUCGGAAUCACUGGGCCUAAAGAGCGCGUAGGCGGCUUGGUAAGUUAGGUGUGAAAUCCCUCGGCUCAACCGGGGAACUGCACCUAAUACUGCCUAGCUAGAGUGCAGGAGGGGAGAGUGGAAUUCCUGGUGGAGCGGUGAAAUGCGUAGAUAUCAGGAGGAACGCCGGUGGCGAAAGCGACUCUCUGGACUGCUACUGACGCUGAGGCGCGAAAGCUAGGGGAGCAAACGGGAUUAGAUACCCCGGUAGUCCUAGCCCUAAACGAUGGGCACUAAGUAGAGGGGUUUU